AUUGAACGCUGGCGGCAUGCUUUACACAUGCAAGCCGAACGGUAACAGGCCGCAAGGUGCUGACGAGUGGCGAACGGGUGAGUAAUGCAUCGGAACGUGCCCAGUCGUGGGGGAUAACUACUCGAAAGAGUAGCUAAUACCGCAUACGAUCUAUGGAUGAAAGCGGGGGACCGUAAGGCCUCGCGCGAUUGGAGCGGCCGAUGUCAGAUUAGGUAGUUGGUGGGGUAAAGGCUCACCAAGCCAACGAUCUGUAGCUGGUCUGAGAGGACGACCAGCCACACUGGGACUGAGACACGGCCCAGACUCCUACGGGAGGCAGCAAUGGGGAAUUUUGGACAAUGGGCGCAAGCCUGAUCCAGCAAUGCCGCGUGCAGGAAGAAGGCCUUCGGGUUGUAAACUGCUUUUGUACGGAACGAAACGGCUCUGGUUAAUACCCGGGGCUAAUGACGGUACCGUAAGAAUAAGCACCGGCUAACUACGUG
rnacentral:rRNA from 1 species